UGGGGAAUUUUGGACAAUGGGGGCAACCCUGAUCCAGCAAUGCCGCGUGAGUGAAGAAGGCCUUCGGGUUGUAAAGCUCUUUUGUCAGGGAAGAAACAGCAGCUCUAACACAGCAUGCGAAUGACGGUACCUGAAGAAUAAGCACCGGCUAACUACGUG
rnacentral:rRNA from 1 species